CUCAUUCUCUCUCUCUCUCUCUCUCUUUAUAUAUAUAUAUAUAUAUAUUUUUUUUUUUUAAUUUUCAUUUGUAUAUGGUUUUCUGGGUAGGUCUUAGAUCUUCAAAGGAUUUCAGCUUGCUUUUGAUUGUUAGACUUCACAAGCACUUAUGACAUUAAUUCACAAAAUCUUUCAAUUUUUCAAUGAAAGUUUUUGGUGAAAUGCUAUAAUGCCUCACUGGGUAUGUCUAAUAAUUUGGAAAGAAGAACUUUUGGAAUCCCAUUAUUGCUCAAAGUUUUUAUCUUUAUUAUUCUGUGCAGAAAACGGUGGAAUUGCAUUUGUUUGAUCAUAUUGUGAUGACCCAAUUUUAAAGUUGAAUUCCUGUUGUGGAGUUUAAGAUUUCCCAUGAUUGUGAUAUUUCAAGAUUGUCUCUCUGAUUUUUGGUAGCUGUAAAAUCAGGUUGCUAACUUCAUCUCUGGUAUGAUAUAAAGCUUUGGAACACUAUUUCUAAUGCUUUUGUUCUCCUUUCUUUUCUCAAUGACUUUCAGGCUGCUGAGUGACUAUAACGUGGAGACAAUAAACGAUGGGCUAAAUGAAUUCAAUGUGGAAUUCCAUGGUUCAAAAGAAAGUAAUGUCUGACGCCCCUGCUUCUAGUGGCACGCCGGCAAAUUUGGGUCAAACAGGGCGGAAGUAUCAAGUUUAUUUAGAAAUUAAGAAUGCUAUUAUCCUGCGGUUGAUUAUCAAAUCCUUUUUACCUUUUAAAAGUUUUUGAAGUUUUCCUUCCACAACUGUUGCUUUAUCCAAAUCUUUCAGGUCCGCUCAACGGUGAUGCAGCAUCAUUGAUGAUGAAGGACUGAAAACUCUAUGAUCAGAAGGUCAAAGAGUACUGUGAGCGACAUGCAAAGAAGGAACACAUUACCAAUACAACACCAGACGAGGAGCGCGAUGAGAACAUUAGUGAUGAGGAAAGCAAACUCAAGGGACAAUGAUAUUGCUGGACAUGCAGACCCAUAGUGAAUCACAGACGGGGAAUUAAAACUUAUAAAUAUCAAGUCUCAGAAUGCUACCAUGUCUAAAGCAAGCAUGAGGAACGACUUCAUACAAUUCAGAGACUUUCUAAGGGAAAGGUUGCCAAAGACAUGGAGGGACCUAAACUUGUUUCUGGAUUUCUUCGACAAACCUAUAGAGUAAGAAUGCUUUGAUAUAAUGGCUAUGAGUCCCAUUCUCUAUUGGUACCAAGAUUUCAUGGUCACUCACCGUUACAUUUGAUAUCAAUGGAGGAGAGAAUAAAUAAAUGUGCUUUAAAUGUUUCUCAAUCCUUGAUAUCAAAUUCAAAAACAAGAGAGUGAGUAAUUAACCAUGCGUUCCUUAGUCACCUGGAACAAGACAACAUUUAUGCAAUAAGUACACCUAACAUAUGUAUUGCUCUCUGUCCUUCUAAAUAUGUUUUCAUAGGUUCGAAAGCUAUGUUGAAAAACUCAUUAGACACCCUUUCCUCAUGAGUUCUCAGAAGAGACUGAAGUACUUCUUCCGGAUAGGUCAGGCCUUUGAACAAAAUAUUAUAUCUCAACAUGACUUUAAUAUCAUGUUCCAAGUUGAUCCUUUUUCGAGGUAUAUGGGCUGGAAUUCAACCAGAAUGUACAACCGAAUGAGUCAAGACCUAAAAGCCACUAUCGAUUAUGGGAGCGCAACCGAAUGAGUCUAUACAAUUACGUUUACUUGGUUGUAUCUUGCAUAAUCUUUUCAAGAGUUCAAGUUUCAAAACUAUACAAAAUUGUUUGGUGGUUUUCUU